AAAUUGAAGAGUUUGAUCAUGGCUCAGAUUGAACGCUGGCGGCAGGCCUAACACAUGCAAGUCGAACGGUAACAGGAAACAGCUUGCUGUUUCGCUGACGAGUGGCGGACGGGUGAGUAAUGUCUGGGAAACUGCCUGAUGGAGGGGGAUAACUACUGGAAACGGUAGCUAAUACCGCAUAACGUCGCAAGACCAAAGAGGGGGACCUUCGGGCCUCUUGCCAUCGGAUGUGCCCAGAUGGGAUUAGCUAGUAGGUGGGGUAACGGCUCACCUAGGCGACGAUCCCUAGCUGGUCUGAGAGGAUGACCAGCCACACUGGAACUGAGACACGGUCCAGACUCCUACGGGAGGCAGCAGUGGGGAAUAUUGCACAAUGGGCGCAAGCCUGAUGCAGCCAUGCCGCGUGUAUGAAGAAGGCCUUCGGGUUGUAAAGUACUUUCAGCGGGGAGGAAGGGAGUAAAGUUAAUACCUUUGCUCAUUGACGUUACCCGCAGAAGAAGCACCGGCUAACUCCGUGCCAGCAGCCGCGGUAAUACGGAGGGUGCAAGCGUUAAUCGGAAUUACUGGGCGUAAAGCGCACGCAGGCGGUUUGUUAAGUCAGAUGUGAAAUCCCCGGGCUCAACCUGGGAACUGCAUCUGAUACUGGCAAGCUUGAGUCUCGUAGAGGGGGGUAGAAUUCCAGGUGUAGCGGUGAAAUGCGUAGAGAUCUGGAGGAAUA
rnacentral:rRNA from 1 species